CGGCCCUGAGUCCAGGCCCCUCAGGGGACCCUACGGAGCUGAGCGAGCUGCCCAACCCCGCGUCCUGAGUCAUGAGAUCAGGCGGGGUUAUAAAACCACCCUUGCCCACACUCUGUUUUGUGGCAUGUCCGAUGUUUUAGAAAUACCGGAGGUCUAAAUUCUGUACGCAGUUUUUAAAAAUCUGGUGAUUUGAAAUGUACUGACUUGCGUUUCAACCCUGGGAGUAAACGUCCUUUUCGGUGCCCUGCCGGACCUUCGCUUCACCAACUGUGCGGACUCGGAGAGAGGAGGACCUGGUCCAGAGACACAGGCACCCGCAGGGUGGCCUACAGGUCGGCCGCUGGCCCCCUGCGCUUCUGUCCUGCCCCAACCUCAACAAUUAUGACGUUUGAAAAUUUUCCGCUUUUCAAAUAACAAUAAUAAGCAUUCAUGAAAAACCCGAAGUACUUUAUGUCACCACCUGGAAGCCAGCUAAAGUGCCCACUGCGAAAAUAAGGAAGAAAAUAAGAAAAUAUGCCCCAAAGAGAAAGAAUUAAAAAUCGACUCUUCUCUGGGAGAAAAUGAAAUCGAGAAGCUCAAGACCAGGACCUCUGAUAAAUGAGUAUAUUUGGGAAAAGGUUUGAUUUUCCAGCCACUGGUGCCUCAGCUUCGGGCUUUCCAUUUGCUGGGCUUCUCCUAACACCUCUGGCACCCAGCAGCGUGUUCAUGGGGUCACCUGCUUCUGGUAAACUGCGCACAUGGGAUAUUUUGGCUGCUGCGUUCAAGACAUUACCUCUCUGCACUUGAACUUCCCUUAUGUCACACUUCCCUGAGGUCAAGUAGCACUGGCGAGUCCAGGGGAGUUUUGGAGAUCUGUCUUCUUAUAAGAGAAGCUGAGUUGGAGAUCUAUGUAUAUAUUUAAUCUCACAGUGUCUCCCAUGUAUAUAGUUAAGUCUUGGCCAUCAGUCCUGAUCCAGGAAGGGCUUCCAGGAAUUCUCCUGCCACGCACCUGCUGACUUACCCAGCGCAGACAGAGGUCCAGGGAUACGGGAUAUCACCAUGUGAACGGGUCCUCCAGCACCAGACCUCGGAUGCAGGCGGGCAACGGAGGAGAAACCCAGUUUGACAUGAGGAGUCACCCCGUGGGAAGCUUUCUAGCAUCAGGCAUGGAAAUUGAACUGUUCUCCAGUGUUUCACUGACCCUUAAAGGUAUGUCAGCAGAGCUGGUAACAUCGCAAAGGCAACCUGAAAGAGAGCGCCUGUCAGGCACCCUAUCUCAGAAAUUCAAAAGCCGAUGAGGAAUUAAUGAUACUAUAAUUCCAAAUUUAAGUGGUGAUACAUCCCAAUUCUCUACUUCUGUUUGAUUCCAGCCAAGUAAAAACAAAUUGAGAAAGUAGCCUUUGGUCUGAAUCGGACCGAAGAAACCUAAGAAGUAUGGCGAACUAGGACGUAGCAGCUUCAUGGAUGGCAGAGCUCCCCUGGGCUUCCUCCAGACCCUUGCGGUGGUGAGCCCUGGCUGAAACUGCCACCAUUCGUGGAUGGACACCAAGGAUCCCAUCUGGUAAAAGGACCACAGGCCAGAGUGACAGGGCCAGCAUGGGUUGGCCUGUAGUCUAUCCCAGGAAUUCAGGAUUCUUUCCUGAAUUCCUUUUGAAACAGUGAUCCCAACAAACAGACCGUGUGGAGCAUGUUUGUCGUCCAAAGACUUCAAAGUUAAAAGUUGUAUGAUGUUGAUCACGA